CUGAAACUUUGAGUCCUAAUAAUUAGCUACUCUGCACCCCCUACCCACCACUUCCUUUUCUUCCUCUUUCAUUCAAAGGGAAUCUUAUAUCAAUUCCAGCAUCAUUUUCUUAAGAGUCACAUGAAAUAGACGCCUAAUUAGGCCUUUAAUACUCUACGAUACGAUCAAAAUAUAUGCGAUAAAAGGGAGAAGAAAUCUUGCACUGUUUGGAAGGUUGUCGCCACUAUUAGUCUUGUAAGAUCUGCAACGUCUCAUACUCUUCCUCCGUCCCAUGCUCCUUCCAUCUUCACGGCGCUCCGAUCCUCUGCCGGUGUUUGGAUGUAUAACGCGCUCUUUGUCUUUUCUGUCUCCUCUAGUAAAAGAUUAUGUCUUUCUAAUAUAUGUUUUUAUUUGUAUUUGAGUGAGAAAGCUUCAUUCUUGUAAGAAUGACUUUGAGGCUAUCAUAGCUAAAUAAACAUAAUAACUACUAUAUAUCUUCACAUCCAUUUUUUUUUAUGAUUUUUGAUAAUUUUAGAUGUGUUUAUAAAAUAUUUAGUUUUUUAUUUGUUAUUUUAGAUGUGUUUAUUUAAUUUUA